AAUCACCGUCAGAUGAUUAGUAUGCUUGUCUGGAUAUUGUAGCAAUAACAAAUAUUAUAGGAAAUUAAUUUAUCGUAUUUUAUUAUUUUUUAGUGACCUUUAAGUGAAAAUAAGAAUUCUAGAACAAUUUAAGUGUUUAUUAUACUCGUACGUGGUUUAAGGAAUAAUAUAAAACAAGGAAAAACAGUUUUACCUUAAGAAACGAGCUAGUGCAGGAACAAAGAAGAUGGCUGUGAAUUCGAAGCCGCGCCAAAAGUCCCACUUGACCAUGUGGUUAGUGAUGAACCAGAGAGGCGAGGACGGAUCAUUGAGUGCACUCACGCGGAGACCAAAUACUGUAUAACCUACAGUAUCCGAUGUGUACAUUGAGAACAAUUCCUGGCGACGCAUAAAUUGUAAGAUGUUGUUAAUAGUCAAACUUCAUGCAAAGCUAUUAUUAUGACGGACUAGCCGUACUCGCUCGCUUCGCUGGGCAUUUAAAAUUAACAUUAUUAUUUAUUGUCAUCAUUAUUAAGGAGUCGAACACUCAUAUAAAUAUUAGCCUAUCUAUUAAGUACAUGUAUUUUCUAGAUGGAUACCAAGUUUCAAGUCAAUCGGAUACACGGUUCAGUAGUUAUAACGGAACAUCCGUAAAAACCACUGUAGAUUUAUAUAUUAGUAUAUUGGUAUAGAUAAUGCCUAAAGUGCUUUUCUUAGUCUAGUCUCUAUUAAUGCAGAGAAUAAUGCGUUAAGUGCUACUCUAAUAUUAUGUAAUUAUUACCCACUAUUUUAUUAAAACAUGAAUAAAAGAUAACCUAAAUUUAAUAAGAUUA